rnacentral:rRNA from 1 species
GGCGCACGGGUGCGUAACGCGUGGGAAUCUGCCCUUAGGUACGGAAUAACAGUGAGAAAUUACUGCUAAUACCGUAUGAUGUCUUCGGACCAAAGAUUUAUCGCCUAGGGAUGAGCCCGCGUAGGAUUAGCUAGUUGGUGAGGUAAAGGCUCACCAAGGCUACGAUCCUUAGCUGGUCUGAGAGGAUGAUCAGCCACACUGGGACUGAGACACGGCCCAGACUCCUACGGGAGGCAGCAGUGGGGAAUAUUGGACAAUGGGCGAAAGCCUGAUCCAGCAAUGCCGCGUGAGUGAAGAAGGCCUUCGGGUUGUAAAGCUCUUUUACCCGGGAAGAUAAUGACCGUACCGGGAGAAUAAGCCCCGGCUAACUCCGUGCCAGCAGCCGCGGUAAUACGGAGGGGGCUAGCGUUGUUCGGAAUCACUGGGCGUAAAGCGUACGUAGGCGGCCAUUCAAGUCAGAGGUGAAAGCCCAGGGCUCAACCCUGGAACUGCCUUUGAAACUAGAUGGCUGGAACACGGGAGAGGUGAGUGGAAUUCCGAGUGUAGAGGUGAAAUUCGUAGAUAUUCGGAAGAACACCAGUGGCGAAGGCGGCUCACUGGA